rnacentral:rRNA from 1 species
AUUGAACGCUGGCGGCAUGCCUUACACAUGCAAGUCGAGCGGUAACAGGUCUUCGGAUGCUGCCGAGUGGCGAACGGGUGAGUAAUACAUCGGAACGUGCCUAGUAGUGGGGGAUAACUACUCGAAAGAGUGGCUAAUACCGCAUGAGAUCUACGGAUGACAGCAGGGGAUCGCAAGACCUUGCGCUACUAGAGCGGCCGAUGGCAGAUUAGGUAGUUGGUGGGAUAAAAGCUUACCAAGCCGACGAUCUGUAGCUGGUCUGAGAGGACGAUCAGCCACACUGGGACUGAGACACGGCCCAGACUCCUACGGGAGGCAGCAGUGGGGAAUUUUGGACAAUGGGCGCAAGCCUGAUCCAGCAAUGCCGCGUGCAGGAUGAAGGCCUUCGGGUUGUAAACUGCUUUCGUACGGAACGAAAAGCCCUGGGUUAAUACCCUGGGGUCAUGACGGUACCGUAAGAAUAAGCACCGGCUAACUACGUGCCAGCCGCCGCCGUAAAAC